ensembl:lncRNA
GUUUGUCAUUUGACAGCUGAUAGCAGUAUGUUAACAAAGAUGCCAUUUACUGAGUGAGCACUGGCUUACACAGGCGUUUCCCCAAAUGCUCCCAUGUCUUAAACACCAGGCCUAUUUAGGGCUAUGCCACCGCUGCUGCCACAGAAAGGCUGGCGAGGGUAGGCUGUGCAUCUUUGACAUCUGGUGAUCAGGGAAUCUCUGGCACCCUAGGACCACCCUGUCCAUGUCUGUGGAGGCUUAGCACGGGAUGGUAGCCCUUUCUGCUCCCAUGGGGGCUAUCCAUAGCACCAGGACCAAGAUGAUGAGGGUAUAUUUCUUGUUUGCCUGCUUUCGCCCUGGCUGUAGAAAUUAGCCAGGUCUAGGACAGGGUGUCUAGGACAGCAGUUCAGCCUGUUUGUGGCCGACACAGGGCCUGGUGUGUGUGUUCUGUGCAGUGUAGGAGUCACUGAAGUUUUUCCUCAGUGCCCCCCUCUGUCUGCCUUUCUCAGCAAUAAGCCAGAAGGCAGGCUUGAGAGGAGCCUCGUGAUGGGUCCUCCCUCCCACCUUCCUUGGGCAAGGUGGCACUCGGAGGAGCCAGCUACAACCUGCCACUUCAUGGGUGUCCCAGUUGUAAGGCAAGCGCUUCCAGGAGUGGUGUUCCGUGAUCCUCUGUUUCAGUCUCAUCGCCCACAACUUGGUCCACCUCCUGCUGCUGGCCCGCUGGGAGCACACACCCCUCGUGAUCCUGGGUGUCGGUGAGUACAGGGCCCCUCUCGAGGUCGUGUGCCUUUGUGCAGUCGAGCACAUGAGUGCUUGGGGUGGUCUCGGGUCAGGACCUGCUCAUCUUGGAGCAUUCAUUUUAGUGGCAUGGUGACAUCACCCCCAGUUCCUGUUGCUUCCAUUCUUCUUUUGGCGUACUGAAAAUCAGCUACCUCCCCCAGGUGUUCUCCAGCCUCCCCCGCCCACUGCCCCGUCCAGUGCUGACCUGGCAGCCAUUCCAUCUGACAGCCCCCAACUUCAACAUUCCCUCCUUGUUGCUGUUCGGCCACACUGACCACACUCUCGGCGCAUGCACACCCCUUCCUUUGGGGACCCCUGUACGAGCUGUUCACUGUACCUGUAGCCCUUCUCAGGACUCCAUGCUUUUGAUCCCCAAGAUCUACUGACAGCCACCUGCUUAAGUAGGUCCUCCGUGAUGGGCCCUCAGAGACAGCCCUGUGGAGUUUGGUGGGUACAAGCCUUUAAUCUCAGUACUUGGGAGGCAGAAGAAGAUCUGUGAUCUCUGGGCCAGCCAGGGCCACAUGGUGACCAAGCCCUGCCACACACACUGUCGCUGGAGCCCACUGAGUCUCCAACAACUCAGAAGUCAGAUUUUUUUUUUCCCCUGUUCCAUCCACUGCUGUAUCUCUAGCCUUGGGCAUGAGCCCUGAUACAUGGCAGGUGCUAGGAAUUCAGUGAGUUGGAUGGUAUAUAUGGAGUGAGGGUCCUGUGUGCUAGGAAGUCCUGGUGUUCCCCUUGGCCAGGCUGAGACUCAUCAUCUUGAUGAGGAACUAAAGGCUGAGAGAAGGGACCUGCAGGACACUUUAACCUGAAGCACAUGUGGUCGGAAUGUCUGGCUGCAACCCGAGCUCCAGAUGGCUCAGUUUCCCUCCUUUCCAGCCCAUUGUCCUCUGGCUCAGGUGCCCCAGGGCUGGCCAAGGGGUUGUGGUACCCUUGGUCCUACCUGACCCUUCCUGUGGCUUUGCUUCUCAAUCCCGUU